GUGUUCCUGGUUCUAUAUAGAACCACUGUCUUUACUAAAGAACCCUUGAAGAACCAUCUUUUUUUUAAAAGUGUACUAUACAGCUGGGCCUCAGUGUUGCCAUGACGAACGUAAUGUAAAAUCAGUGAUGUUUGUUAUGUAUAUAACAAUUUAAACACAGAACAUUUUAGGGCCCUUGUGGUACCGUUAGCCUUAACUGAACAAAAUCAAGGCUUAGGACAAACGUGAUGAUGUAAUAUGACUGGCUAAAGGUGCUGGAGCCCGGUGGUCUUAUGAAGGGCUGGAUCUAGACGCCAUAAUCAGAAUGCAAAACUUCUUCUAACCUGGAGCUUCACUGAUUCAAAAAUGGAUGAUCCAUAAUCCGGCCUACUGGAGCCUGUAGUGUGGGACGAGGUGACUUUCACAGGAUAGACAUUUGAAGGACAGUCAGAUGUACGUUCAGUUCAACCUGUUUAACUUGAUAUUAUUUAAACUGUUUAAUAUCUAAUUUAUUUGCUUUGCAGAAAUUCCUGAAAGGCUGAACCAUGGUUGUAUUUAUGUGUUGGUCUGUGUUGAUGUAAAUUACAUGAAUAAAGAGAAGAACAAUUUGUAAAGCUC